rnacentral:lncRNA from 12 species
AUGGAAGAGAAGUGCCGAAGAGAUAUGGGUGGGGAAAAGUGGAGAAGAAUAGACACCGUGACUUCCGCUGAUCCUCAGUUUGAGAUGCACAUGGGAAGAGAAACUUCCUUCUUCAUUUCAUGGUACCAUAUGUGUUUCAUGGAAUGGAUAUGCCCACAUGAACUUGACCAGUCUUUGGUGAUUGAACUUUGUGUGAGUUUCCUUUCUUUUGCCUCUUAAAAUAAUGCUGUGAUGAACAUCCUUGUAUAUACUUGGCAUGUGUGUAUGUGUAUGUGUAAGUACACCAGUGCAAGUAUUUCUUGCAAAUCCUCAAGUCUGAGUUAUAGGUCAAAUGACAUGCACUUUUCUGAUUAUAAUAUACAUUGCUGAAGUGCCC